UACGAAGGGUGCAAACGUUGCUCGGGAUUAUUGGGCGUAAAGCGCCCGUAGGCGGCUUUGCAAGUCCCAUGUGAAAGCCCACGGCUUAACCGUGGAAGUGCAUGGGAAACUGCAGAGCUUGAGUACUUAAGAGGAUCGCGGAAUUCCCGGUGUAGAGGUGAAAUUCGUAGAUAUCGGGAGGAACACCAGUGGCGAAGGCGGCAUCCUGGACCGGUAUUGACGCUGAGGCGCGAAAGCCAGGGGAGCAAACGGG
rnacentral:rRNA from 1 species